GAUGAACGCUGGCGGCGUGCUUAACACAUGCAAGUCGAACGGUGAAGCAGGAGCUUGCUCUUGUGGAUCAGUGGCGAACGGGUGAGUAACACGUGAGCAACCUGCCCCUGACUCUGGGAUAAGCGCUGGAAACGGCGUCUAAUACUGGAUAUGUGAUGUGACCGCAUGGUCUGCAUCUGGAAAGAAUUUCGGUUGGGGAUGGGCUCGCGGCCUAUCAGCUUGUUGGUGAGGUAAUGGCUCACCAAGGCGUCGACGGGUAGCCGGCCUGAGAGGGUGACCGGCCACACUGGGACGGAGACACGGCCCAGACUCCUACGGGAGGCAGCAGUGGGGAAUAUUGCGCAAUGGGCGAAAGCCUGACGCAGCGACGCCGCGUGAGGGAUGAAGGUCUUCGGAUCGUAAACCUCUUUCAGUAGGGACGAAGCGAAAGUGACGGUACCUAAAGAAGAAGCACCGGCUAACUACGUGCCAGCCGCCGCGGUAA
rnacentral:rRNA from 1 species